AGGAAUGAAACCCAGUUGGAGGAUCCCCAAAUCAGAUAGCCCAAAGAACGAAGCCCAAUCAAACAAGUCAAGAUGAAGGCCCAAAUAGGGAGGCCCAAGAACGCGGUAACACCAUCGCCCAAGUUUGCAAGUCGCCCAGAAUCUAAGCGAAUGGAGUGCCAUGCAGUCGCCCAGAGCUGUUACUCUAUUCUCGCCCAAACCUUCUAAUCGCCCAAGGUCUUAGCAAACAUAAAGUGUUGCGGUUAUCAAGAAGUGUAGUUAUCAAAGCAGUUAUUAAAGCAGCCCUAUCACGUUCCACGAUUCAAGGAAUUCAAUCGAAAACGGUUGAACGACGAAGAGUAAUGGCAGCAGUUAAAAAAGGCAGUUCCAUAACAAGUUGGCCAUUACGAGGAAAGUGGGCAGUUGUAGAACGAUCAAGCAGUUUUAGGGCGGUUGAUCACAAAGAGAUCAU
rnacentral:lncRNA from 1 species